rnacentral:tRNA from 1 species
GCCUUCGUGGUGCAGUGGUCAGCGCACUCGACGCGUAUUAUUCGAGAGGUCCGUGGUUCGAGUCCCGUCGAGGGUA